rnacentral:misc_RNA from 1 species
CAUUUCCACACAGAUUUGCAAUAGCUCCAGCUACCAUGCGAAGAGUUUGAGGAUCCUCAGCAUCAGCUGCUGUCAUAGAUAAUAAACUGAUCCCCCCUUGAGUCAUAAUAAGCUCUUGAUUAGCUUCAUUCAUCGCAAGAUUGGCAAUUGCACCUGCCGCAACUCUGCGAACAGUAUCAUCCUCAUAGCUUCUAAGAAGCAUCAGCAAGGAAGUAAGACCACCAGCUUCAACAAUCUUUUCCUGAUUUGCUUCUUCGGCUGCUAGGUUAGCUACCACUUUUACUGCAUGAAUUUGUGUAUUGGCAUCUUCAGACUCGAGCAAUGACAAAAUCUUUUGCAAUCCAACUUGUUCAAAAAGUGUGGCCAUUGGUGCCUUUUGCCCAUUUGCAGAGUCUUUAAACUGAGAAUGCCUCAUUUGAGAUGCAAAAGAAUCUAAACCAGCAAAAGCAUUUCCAGAUCCACCUCUGUCAAGAUGUCGUCUUGUCUGAUCAGCUUCAACAGUUAAUUGCAAUAACUGACUUUGUAGAAUCAAAAUAUCUUCUUCCAGUUUCUUAUUUUUAUGAGUCUCAUCUUCCAGCAUUCUGUGAACCUUUACAAUCUCCGCAUCUCCACCUGCCUGAUGCAUGAAAUAACCCAUUGUAUGUCACAAAUCCAAAGCUGAACUUUUCUUUUAUUUCUAGUUGGUUUGAGAAAUGGGUGGAGAAAGGUGGUGUUAGAAGAAAACAGAAUACAAAACUUGGAAAUUGGCAGAAGGCCAGACAGGAGAUCAUACUAAUACAGCACCCUCCAUAAUCUACAAAAAUCCAUACCAUAGAUUGCAUAAAAUUCUCUAACUGACUCUUAAGCUUCUUGACCUCUUCUUCGGCUGUCUUUCUUAGCUGAGUUUCAUUUUGAAGCAACUUUUUUAUCUCAGAAACUUCUUCAGAAGUAGAAGUACCCAGCACCUGGAAAAUAGUUAGGAAAUGGAAAAAAAUUUGUGGCCAUAUUGAAAACAUUUAAUGAGUCAAUGAUCAGAAGGCCAAACAAAAUAUGUCAAUAAGUGCAGAUACAUAAUGGAGAGAUGUUAACUGUAACACUAGGAAACCAGAACUUCACUGUGGUGAGACGGCUUAAUUUUAGGCAAAAUCACUUCUAUUCUAAAAUAAAAGUUAUGCACAAGCAAAAUCCACUAGAAAGUUUAGGAAAUGUAUGAGAUCACAUCUCUCAUAUCAAAAGUGUCCUGAAUCCAGAUAGUCAUCAACCACCCAAAAAAAAAGGGGGAAUUCCCAAAUGUAAGGGAUAUAACACGAUAAACGAGCUACAAAACAAUACCUCUCCAUUGCAUUUUUCAUUGAGGAAGCUAUCACGACCAUGCUUUUUCUGAUUGGCCACCAUCUUUUCCUCCAGCUUCUUCACUGAUUCGAUAUAUUCCAUCUGGCACUUUAGCCUCUCCUUCUGUAAGGCUUCUGCAAAGCUCCUUUCAACCUCAGUAAUACGAUUUUCUGCUUCUUGAUUUAUUCUUUCAACUUCGUCAUCAAAAGCUUUUUGCUGCCUUUCAUUCUCCACAAUAAGCUUGUCCACUUGUAUUUCAAGCUUUCUAGAUAAACUUUUGUAAUCAAACUCUUCCUUUAUUUUCAACAUGUUCUCCACCUUCAUAGCCCUUUGUCCAAACAAUACAGUGCUUGUAGUCUCUCCUCGGUGGCGUGGUGAAGGGCCAAUGGUUACAAUUAAUGAAGUUCUUGCUGUGCCUCCAAAUGAAUCUUUGAGCAACCGAGUAAGUUUUGAAUCACGAACUGGCACAUGAGCACUAUUCUCUGCAAGUGCAUUUAUGCACUUCCCUAAUGCACUAAGUGAGAGAUUGAUAGACUUAGCUUCUUCUAGCAUAUGCCCCUCACUUCCUGCCAAAAGAAAAAAGGAACGAAGAGAAGUCCACAGAACUUGUAAAUAGGAAAACUUUGAUCAACAAAACCACAUCAUGCCAUCAUAAAUGUCUAAGCUUGGAGAGAGAAAUGUAUAAGAAAAUUCAUAUUCUAAAGAGAUGCAUAUUUGGGCCCCAUAAGAGAUCCAUUUUAAAGUGUCAUAAAUUCUGAUAUACACCUGACUUGUGAACACGUUCUGACCCUGCCAAAUCUAUCAGAACCAGCUUGCUCUUCCGAACAAGUGGCUUCACAGGUUUGACCAAGUGAGAGGAAUUAUCAACUUCACUAGAGAAAGCGUCUUCUCCUCCUCCAACCGACCUUCUAACGUGAACCAUUAGAAUUGCAUGGCUACGAGAAGAUUCAGUAUUCAAUCUCGUAUUUGCAGCAAAGCGGUGUGCUUCUCCUAAACGUAAUAGUUCCACAAAACUCUGCUGAUCCCUAAUUUCAACUAUGCUAGCUCCUGGUAGUGAAACAUCUCCAGUUUUUGGGUCUUCCACAAUAGAAAUGUUAUCAUUAGUAGGAUCAAGGAGGUCCUGUAUAGUCUCCAUAUAUAACUGCAAAUAGGAGACGGAGACAGAAUCUGACUCCUGAGAAACAUCUGCUAAAAUAUCCUCCAUGGCACGGACCAUUAUUCCACGAGCAGCUGUAUCUUCUUCUCCAAGUCGUCCAAGAGUAUAUGUCUUACCAGUACCAGUCUGCCCAUAUGCCAUCACUGUCCCAUUGUAUCCAUCCAAAACACUCUCUACAACAGGCUUUGCUACAACCUCGUAAACACGUUUUUGCGAUGCAAACUCAGUGAGCACUUCAUCAAACUCAUAGGUAUCUGAGUCCCAGUUGUUUUUCCGAAGUUUCAACCUCUUAACCUCAGGCUGUAAUUCUACACAAUCAGCAAAAUCAGCAUCU